GCGGUCGUCGUCUAGUCUGGUUUAGGACACAAGCCUUCCAAGCUUGCGAUCCCGGGUUCAAAUCCCGGCGACCGCACCA
rnacentral:tRNA from 1 species